GAACCCGUGGCUCAAUAAUUAGAGCGUUGGACUUCUGAUCAAAAGGUCGCGGUUUCA
rnacentral:tRNA from 1 species